UUUAUGGCCGCACCUAGCAAGCCGCCCUCACCACUGCAGCCUACCCUGCUUCCCUUCCCUCUUGUCCUCUUCCCUUCCCUCUUCCCACUGUUUCCCUUUCUGCCUCCUACUUCUUUUCCUGUUUCUUCCUUUAGAACAUAAUCGCAUUACAGAAUAAAUGUUCAUUAAUUCAAUUAGCCUCACAUCCGAGCACUACAGAUGUCAGGGUGGUUGACGAAACGGUUUGAACUCGGCUCCAUCGCUUGAGUUGCUACCCGAAGCUGCUCCACUGGAGAACUGAGGGAUCACUGGUUUAUGCAUAUGCAUGGCUGCUUUCUUCUCUGGGCAUUUAAAUGCGAAGGCCCUCCUCUGUCAUCUACCGUUGAUUAACUGAUACAGAUGAGGAUGCUUGCAGCUAACCACUCGACUACAAAGGGACACCAGUGGAGGAGUUAGAGAAAAGACUGAAGGAGCUGAAGGGGUUUGCAAUCCCAUAGGAAGAACAACAAUACCAACCAACCAGACUCCACCAGAGCUCCCAGGGACUAAAUCAUCAACCAGACCAGAUGCAGAACCCUGAGCUCCUUCUCCAGCACUGGGUCUGCCUGUGCACAGCCCUACUUCUCACCAUGAUGAUAGUGGUCGAAACCUCUGAACCUGUAAGUGGUUUUCUUUAUAAUAGUUGCUGUGGUGAUGGCAUUUAUUCGCAGUAAUAAAACCUAAAUUGAGAUACAGUAAAUUUGUUUCCUUCUGUGAAAACUAUACUUUUCAUGUCCUUAUGAGAAACUGAUAUUUAGAAAUCUGCUAAGCAGGACCAAUGAUUCAAGAACUAUAGGGAUUUCUCAUAGGUAGAUCACAUCUGUGGUUAGUGACGUCACCAUCUAGCAUUACCAGAUUUCCCUUUCAGUGAGCUGAGACAAUGGGCUGUGCUUCCUCAACAUCAAUGCCCAGUAUUUUCAUCAGUAAAGAGGAGAGUAAAUCUCAGGGGAUAAGAGUCCAUGAUGACAAAAGGCAAUGAGUUAAGGUUAGUUCCUGUUACAAAUUUAUCCUCUGACAAAUGAGAUUUAUUAGUAUUGUCAACAUUUCUUUUUGUAUCUCAACUGGUCCAACAAACACAUGAAAUAUCCUGAUGAAAUAAAAAUGGAAAACUAAAUGGAUGGUUCCUUUUCCAUCCAAGAGCCGCAGUCUCUGUAUCACCCCUGGGUGUAAGCAGUGGAUUAUCAAAGACAUAGGAGACUUUGUCUUUGACCACUCAGAGAUCUGAUUUCAGAGAGACAGGAAAAUAAUAUUAGGCCAUUUUCAACAAAGACACUUGAAAAUGAGUUUGUAUGGUAGAAUAUAUAGGUCAACAUUUUAAUUUUACCACUUUAGUAACUCUGAGCACUAGACAGUUUAUUUAGAUUACAGAAGCCAUGUCUCUUGUAAAAUGAAGGUAAUUCCACGUACUUUAGGAGCACUUGAUAUUAACUAUGUUUGAUGAAGCCAAAGGGUUUAGUAUACAUUUGCCAUAGGAUAUGAACAGCAGAUGAUACCUAAUGUGUUUUGUUUUUUGUCCACUUGCUACAUCUGUAAUAGACAUUCCUAAUGCUUAGGUAAAUUAAGAUCCCUAUAGAACCAAAUAUAAAAGCUGGGCCUCGUAGCACAUAUUUGCAAUCUCAGUAUUCAGAAGGUUGAGGCAGGAGGAUUUCAUUUCAAGAAUGUCCUAGUUAUACCCAGUAAAAAGAAAACGAAGAUGUGUGUGUGUGUGUGUGUGUGUGUGUGUGUGUGUGUGUGUGUGUGUGGCAGGAGAUGAGGGAUGGCAAGGGCAAAGUUUCCUACAUAUGAAGUUCUUCCUUGAAGGAUUAGAUUAAGUGUCAAGUUCAAGUUCAAACUUCCCAGAUAAGUCCAAACUGCUUGAGACUGAGAACAAUGAGGAAAAACAAAUAUGUAAGGCACCUUUACUGUCAACUACACACUCUCCUGGACAUCGCCUUCGGAAGGAAGCUGAUACUGAAUGGGAUCCUAAUCGUGGUGCUGAGGCUCAGAUUAGAAGCGUGGACAGCAGCUAUCCAGGGCAGAGUAGGACACAUGGUACUAAGGACUGGGCAACACAGCCAUGGAGCAACCGUUCUAGAAGCUGAGUGUGUAUGUCAGCAAUCAAACAUAUACAAGGUCCUGGACUCAAUUCCCUGCACUAGAAUGAAUGACUGGAUGAAUGAAUGAAUGAAUGAAUGAUUUAGAACCAAGAGGCCCCUUCUAUGAAUACUAGGCUAAGGGCUUUGAAUUCAUACCAACCCCUUCGAAGUCAUUUCUGUUUAAUAAGCAUACUUAUAGAAAGAAAAUGUACAGAGCAUUAGUGAGACGUCAGCAGUGUUUACAGAAUACGAAAUGUACUGUCUGGUUCGUGUCUAUUAAACCUGAAUUUCGGUGCUGUAAUCUGGUCCUCUCAGAGAUUUUAUUGACCCUGAAGAUAUUAAAUGCUGAAAUUUAAGAGCUUGGAAUGGAGAUUUCAAAUCUUGACCUUUUGAAAUACACCAGUCAUCCCUAACCCUUUCCCAAAUGUCCAUCAUGUUUUCACAAGUGUGGAAUCCAAGUUUCUCCAACAGUGAACCAUAGCACAAGAGGCUAGAGUGGACUCAGGCACAAGUUAGUGAGAAGGAAAGACAGAGACUCUGUGAGUAAGAUCUGCAAAAUGAUGGUGUUGUGAGGACCCUUCCUCCUACCAGAAACACCCUACAGAGCUGAGGGGCCAACAUCAGGCAUUAAUUAUCCCAGCCCCGCUUUUGGGACCUUGAUAGAGUCGUACUGUAAGAAUAGAACCUGUGUUUUAAGAAUGGUUUCCUGUUCAGGUUUGGAGUGUGUAUUAACUUUUCUGUGCACGUGAAGGAGAGAGUACACAAAGGAAAUGUGCAGCAAAUUCCCCCAGGGCUUCAGGAUGUGAGCUCCUGGGCUAGCAUAGCCUGCUCUGAUGGUGUCCUCAGAGCCAGCCUGCUGGCAGCUAUGAAACAUUUAGCCUCUUGAUAGUUUCCACGAUGAAAACCCAUGCAUGUGCCUUAAAAGAGCCUAUAAAACAGUGUCCUCAUUUUGGCCUUAUAAUUAGGUAUUAAUAGAAGGACUGCACUGUUUUACAAGGCAAUAUUCUGGUUCCUGAGUGGCUAAGAGACACAGCUGCUUGCCAAAAAUUGUAAUUUAUUCUGACAAGUACUUGCCACCUUCAUAACAUAUCCCAAAGCUUGAGCAAAGAAAUGAGGUUAAGAAGCCUCUGGAAGAGUUAGGAUACAUAAUCCCUAUGGGGUUAAAAGACUACUGACAGGAGAGGAGCUGGCUUUACCAUUGUCAGGGGUAUCUUGAUAUUACCUAAUGGGAAUUAAGGGUUAGGAAGUAAGAGAUUUUGAGAUGCUGACUCUUGCUGGGGGAGAAAGAGCAAGCACAAAUGGGGCCACUUCAGUCUCUUGCAACCUGAGUCAUGGGAAGGUACACCAUCUUCCAUAAAGAAAAGUGAAAUGUGUUUUCAUUUUUCCCCCAUAAAAAUAAUUUUUAAAGUAUGGUUUGGUUUCCAGACAGUUUUAAGAGCUGAGCAGGUCAAGUGGUGGGGGUGGAGUGAGUCGGGAAUGGUAGUAACAGGGAAAUGUGCAAAAAAUUACCUUCAUUUGGGGGACUUUCAAGAGCUGGAUAUUUGAUAUCAGUUUCUAUGCAAACUAAUAUUUAUGUUUUAAAAAUAUUUAUAUACUGUGAAGCCAAGACACAACUAAAUUAUAAAACGAGAGGUUUGAAAAGCAUUUGCUUCCAAAAGAUACCUCCCUCAAAGGUACAUAAUUUAGUGACCUUGCCUUCAGAAUACCUGCUCUGGGCAAGUAUACCUGUGACAGAGCCCAGGAGUAGGCUUCAGCUGCCCUAGUUCAACAAAGGUUUCCCCCAAAACGACUUUCAUAGCCUAUGCUUGAAAAUAGUUUCUUUAAAUAUUAUUCUACAUUAAAGAAAUGUAGAAUGAUGCUUAACUGAACUAAAAUAUAUGUAAAGGAAAACCAGUCUACAAUGAUUUGUCCUUUUCUACCCAAGAUAGAAGCUCUAAGGAGAGCAAAGGGCAAUUAGAAUUGGGGAUAUGAAGAACAAUGAGGAACAGGAAGAGGAGGAGCAGAAGGAAAAGAAGCAGGAGGCAGAGGAAGAAGAGGAGGAAGAGGAAGGAGAGGGGGAGGACCAGGAAGAGGAUGAGGACGAGAAGGAAGAAAAAGAAAAGGAGCAGAAGGAGAAAAAGAAGGAGGAAAGAUGUCAGAAAAACAAGAGGAAGCUCAAUUCAUUCCGUAACUCUCCAGAAAUUAUGUGUAUGUUCCCAGUAGUGUUUUCAUUGCCAAAAUGCAGUCUUUUUUUUCCUUUUCUUUUUUUCGGAGCUGGGGACCGAACCCAGGGCCUUGCACUUGCUAGGCCUAGCGCUCUACCACUGAGCUAAAUCCCCAACCACCAAAAUGCAGUCUUAAGACAUGUAUAUCAUCACUAUCUGUAAAAAAAAAAAUCAAGGAAUAAAUAAAAAGAACUGUAGUUGAAAUGUUUUCUAAAACAUAAGACAACAUUUUUAAAAGUGAUUUUCUAUUCAUGGAUGAUACCCACAAAAUUUCAUCACUUGAUAAACUUGAUAAACAACUUCAGCAAAGUAGCUAUAUAUAAAAUUAACUCAAACAAAUCAGAAGCCUUCCUCUACUCAAAGGACAAACAGGCUGAGAAAGAAAUUGGGUAAAUGACACCUUUCACAAUAGUCACAAAUAAUAUACGACACCUCAGUGUGAGUUUAACCAAGCAAGUGAAAGAUCUGUAUGACAAGAACUUCAAAUCUCUGAAGAAAAAAAUGAAGAACUCAGAAGAUGGAAACAUCUCCAUGGAUUGGCAGGACUAAUAUUCUAAAAAUGGCCAUUUUGCCAAAAGCGAUCUACGGAUUCAAUACAACUCCCAUCAAAAUUCCAACUCGAUUCUUCAUAGAGUUAGAAAGGAAAAUUUGCAAAUUGAUUUGGAAUAACAAAAAACCCAGAAUAGCAAAAACUAUUCUCAACAAUAAAAGAACUUCUGGGGGAAUCACCAUACCUGACCCCAAGCUGUAUUACAGAGCAAUCGUAAUAAAAACUGCAGGGUAUUGAUACAGAGACAGGCAGGUCGAUUAAUGGAAUAGAAUUGAACACCCAGAAAUGAACCCACACACCUAUGGUCACUUGAUCUUCGACAGAGGAUCUAAAACCAUCCAGUGAAAAAAAGAUAGCAAUUACAACAAAUGGUGCUGGUUCAACUGGAGAUCAGCAUGUAGAAGAAUGCAAAUAGAUCUAUUCUUAUCACCAUGUACAAAGCUCAAGUCCAAGCGGAUCAAGGACCUCCACAUCAAACCAGAUACCCCCAAACUAAUAGAAGAGAAAGUGGGGAAGAGCCUUGAACACAUGGGCACAGGGGAAAAUUUCCUGAACAAAACACCAGUGGCUUAUGCUCUAAGGUCAACAAUAGACACAUGGAACCUCAUAAAAUUUCAAAGCUUCUGUAAGGCAGAGGACACUGUCAAUAGGACAUAGCAGCAACCAACAGACUGGGAAAAGAGCUUACCAAUCCUACAUCUGAUAGAGGGCUAAUGUCCAAUAUAUACAAAGAACUCAAGAAGUUAGACUCCAGAGAAUCAAAUAACCCUAUUAAAAAUGGGGUACAGAGCUAAACAAAAAUUCUCAACUGAGGAAUACUGAAUAGCUGAGAAGCACGUAAAGAAAUGUUCAACAUCUUUAGUCAUCAAAAAACGUAAAUCAAAACAAUCUUGAGGUCUCACCUCACACCAGUCAGAAUGGCUAAGAUCAAAAACUCAGGUGACAACAAAUGAUGGCGAGGAUGUGGAGAAAAAGGAACACUCCUCCAUUGUUGGUGGGAUUGCAAGCUGGUAAAACCACUGUGGGAAUCAGUCUGGAGGUUCCUCAGAAAAUUGGACAUAGUACUACCUGAGGACCCAGCUAUACCACUCCUGGGCAUAUACCCAAAAGAUGCUCCAAUAUAUAACAAGGACACAUGCUCCAUUAUGUUCACAGCAGCCUUAUUUA